rnacentral:piRNA from 1 species
UACACUUGUUUCACCCAUCAGUGUGAG